CCCGGCCCGGCCCUGCCCCGCCGCGGCCGCCCGGCCGCGUAGACGGGGCGGCGCGGCCGCCUCUGCCCGCGCAGCCGCCGCUCUGCUGGCGGGCGCCAUGGAGGACGUCGGCUCGGGCGUGAACGCGGACGCGGAGGUGCGGAAGCUGCAGGAGCUGGUGAAGAAGCUGGAGAAGCAGAACGAGCAGCUCCGCAGCCGCCACGGCGCCCUACCCGCCGCUCCCGCCAGCCCCAAGCGCCUACCGAGCGCCGGGCCCUCCCCGCCGCCCCCCGGCGCCUCCCCGUCGCCCGACGGCCGCUGCCUCAGUCCCCGGGCCGCCGCCCGGCGCUCGCCCCCCGAGGAGCCCGGUGGCGGCGAGGGUGGCGGCGGCGGCAAUGGCCUCCUGGACGAGGCGGCGGUGCUCAGGCCAGAGGAGCUGGAGCGGCUGGCCGGCUGCGAUGAGGACGAGACCGGCUGGUUAUAUACAUCUCCAAAGAAGAAACUGACUCCAGGGCAAAAAUGUAUCAGUCCAUUAGUCUGGUGCAGGCAGGUAUUGGAUUACCCAAGUCCUGACGUUGAAUGUGCUAAAAAGUCACUGAUCCACAGGCUGGAACAAACAAUGUCAGCUCUCAAGAGACAGAGUUUGUACAGCAGUCCUUUCAGUGCGGUCAGUUACGCGAGCUCCUAUAGUCCAAAUACCGGUAGCCCCUACAGCAGUGGUUUUAACUCUCCCUCCUCAACACCAGUGAAAUCUGCUUUAGUGAAACAGCUCAUACCUCCUGGUACCUCAGGUCAUCUUAAAAGUUCGGGAGAUAGAAAUCCUCCGCUAAGUCCACAGUCCUCUCUGGACAGUGAAUUAAGUGCAUCAGAGAUGGAUGAAGACUCUAUUGGGUCUAAUUACAAGUUAAAUGAUGUUACAGAUGUGCAAAUUUUAGCACGAAUGCAGGAAGAAAGCCUCCGGCAAGAAUAUGCAGCAACUGCUUCUCGGCGUAGUUCUGGUUCCUCUUGCAAUUCUACAAGGCGAGGCACGUUCAGCGACCAGGAGCUUGAUGCGCAGAGCUUAGAAGAUGAGGAAGAUGGCACACAUCACACAGUGCACCCUGCUGUUAGCAGGUUCUCACCAUCACCUCGCAGUUCUCCCUGGCCUUCACCAAAACAAUCUCCAAGAAAUUCACCUCGCUCCCGCUCACCUGCUCGAAGCAUAGAGUACAGUCGAGCGUCACCACAACCUAUGAUUAGUCGUUUACAGCAACCUCGUCUUUCACUUCAAGGCCAUCCUACAGACUUACAGACUAGUAAUGUCAAAAGCGAAGAAAAACUAAGGCGUAGUCUUCCAAACCUGUCCAGGACAUCUAACAUCCAAGCUGAGUCUGUGAAAAACAGCAGAAGUGACUCAAACUUUCAAGUGCCAAAUGGAGGAAUACCUCGCAUUCAACCUCAAGCCUCAGCCACUCUGCAAAGGCAGAAAAAUUUGCCUCGUGCUGCCUUCAAAACCAAACAGUUUCUUCAAACUCCAUCUGCAAAAGGAGUACCUUCUUCAAGUAAAUUCCGCUCACCUGCGGCACCGUCUCCCCUGGCUCUGCGACAACCAGUGAAAGCAUUUAGUAACCAUGGACCUGGUUCAGUUGCCUCUCCAGAAGUCACACAGCUGACGCACAGUAGUUCUUCACCAGGGCCUCUUGCAGCCCAGAGCUCAGGCUUGCCAAGCCCUGCCAGCAGUAUUAACAGUACUACUCUUACCAGACCAGCAGGGAUGAGGAGUGGUUUGCCCAGACCCAGUGCCCCUUCCACAGGGGGCAUCCCAGUGCCUCGUAGCAAACUUGCACAGCCUGUUCGCAGGAAACAGCCCCAGGUUGCACCAGGGGAGAUUUAGAUUGGAUAUUAGGAGAAAUUCUUCACUAGAGGGGUGGUAAGACAUUGGAACAGACUGCCCAGGGAAGUGGUGGAGUCACCAUCCCUAGGGAUCAUUACCCACUCCCAAAACCUAUGGCAACGUGAAAGAUGAGAGUUGGAAAGAUGGCUGCUACUGAACUGCAAAGCUUAAUGCAAAGUUCCAGUGCUCACGGAUGCUUCCUCACCAGGCUAAAAGACAGCUUGAUUAAACAAACUGUUCAGAUGUGACUCUUGGGAUUUGUAAAAAUUCCAAACCUCUCUGUCUCUAAUUAGCACAAACUGGCAGAGAUUAUAAAAGCAGCACUUUAAUAACAUCUAACAUCAGAUGUUUGGUGGUCAUACAAUCACUUCUACAUUAAAUUGCUAUCAGUUCUGGGGGUUUUUUUCUUGCUUGCUAAAAAUGUAUCAGUAUGAGCAUUUAUGAGAGUGGCCAAUGUCUGGGCAAAAACCGAACAAAUGCCAAAGAAAUGCCCACCUUGAAAAACAGCAAGGAUAACUGUCAACCUACAUUGUCCAAGAUAUCAUUUUCAGCCUUCUUUAACUCAGCAGAAAGAUUGGUGAAUAUGUACUAUUGAAACAAGGCUACAUUAAUCAGAGCUAAUGUUCUGAUUGCAGAUUGCUACAGUGCUAGGGAAAUGUUGCUUUUAACAAUUGUCUGAGAUCCUGGUUGGGGCAAGUGGUACAUAUAUCCUUCAAGAAGAAUCAGCAGUUACUCUGGAGGAUUAGGCAGAACAGUGGGUUGUAGCCGUGGCUUUUAUCAUAUUAAAAGGUUUGAAUGUAGCAGACACAUACAAAUGCAAUAGUAUAGAUUGCAUCUUUCCUAUGUUGAUUUAUUGGCUUUACAUGCUCUUAUAUGUUUGAUUGCCAAAAGGGCUUAAUAUCAGUUGUACAAUCUUUCUAACCUUAAAGUUCCUGGCUCAGGAAAGAUGGCCUUUGCUACUGUAGCCACAUUUUUAACAUAAGGCUCGAUAUUUGGGGAAAACUUUUUUAAUAGCAGGUUUCCUUAAAAAGGAAAGAGCAAGUGAGAAUGUUAAUUUGUUCUAAUAUCAUACUGCUAUGCUUGCAGCCGCAGCAACUGUAAAUGCUGAUAGUUAAGGAGAAGGAAACACAACUAUGCACUUGUAACAUACAAAUUUUAAGGAAAUGAGUUGACUCUUGAUGCCAAAUGAUAUUCAUUUAGGUGAUGUUCCAUGGUAUGAGGGAGUUUUCUGUAUCCUAUUUUUUUACUUUCAUCCAUUUCUUAAAUUGGUUUAUUUUAAAUUGUAAAUAUUUUUACAGAAGAUAUUGCCCAUGUAAGUGUGUUUAAAUAUGUACUUUGCCUUACAUAUGUGUAUCUUACAUUACUGGUAACAGAGUAUGAAACCUGCUAUGUCUGUUUACAAGCUAUUAAAUUCCUCUGGUGGCUCUGACUUACUCUAACACAUUUUGCUCAGAACAACUGAUAUAUUUAGCAUUUGAACAAUUGUUUUCUGUUUUGGAAGACAUCAUGCAAACAUCUGUAACUAAAGUUGUAUUGGGUGGGACUAGUUAAAUGGAAGGGAUUUUUGUUUGAAGCUUUUUCAGUAUUUUGGGUGUACAGUUGAUUAAGUUUGAGAAUGUGAAUGGUAUAUCCUUUGUGCAAUGACUGACAACACUACAAAUUGGAUUGGAUGGUAGGUAGCCUUCAACCCCAUUAGUAUCUGAGUUUGGGACUGCUGUUGUAUUUUGACUCCCACCACUAAGAGGAUAACUAAUCCUGAAAUUCUAGCACUUGAAUUUUAGGCCAGCAUUAACAUAUUCCUGGAUGAAAAGCCAUGCAAUACUACUUGACUUGGAAGAAACCAAAUAGAAAGGAGUGGAGACUUAAUGUGCAGCUCUAAAUACUCAAGCAGACUUUGGGUUGAUGGAUGACUUCACACCUCAGACCAAGAUCUGUGCUAAGACUUUGAAGUCGGAGUAUCAAAUAUACUGUAAUUCAGUCAGAUUUCAGCAGAAACUACCUUGCACCAGUACAGAGCAGUAAAUACCACUAAUCUAGCCUUGAGUCACCCGCUGGUACAGGCAGUGGAUGUCAGUUUCUCAUGUCACUGUUCAGCAGAAGAGAGAACUAGAUCAAAUGUGCAUAUUCUCACUAAAGCCCCAGUUUUUAUAUUUCAGCAUUUUACAAAGCAAUGCUGCAGUCUUCAUUGAAGAAAGGUGAAUUUUAAUUGGUGGAUUUUAUCAAACACUUGAUUGACUUUUAACUUUUGAAAGUCAGUUUAGAUGACGAUAUUGGGGGUUUUACCAUGGCUGCAUCAAAUUGUGUACGUUUCCUUAAGUUAAGUAAUUCAUCGCUUGGGUAAAUUCAGCUUAAGUUUUAUAGGGAUUUUUUUCUCUGCUGCUCCCCCCGAAAUACAGCAAAUGACUUCCUGAGAAGACAGACUGUCUGUUUACUAGAAAGCCUUUGUGCAUUACCAUUUUAUUAAUAUCAGGAAAUCAUGGGGCUCUGUGUUUAGAGAUUUAUUGCAGAAUUGUGGAAACAUGGAUUUGAUAAAAUAGUGCCUAUGAUUUACUUAACUUAUGUUUGAUAUAGUAGUAAGGGUUUUAUGAAUGUGGAUUACUUUUUGUGCCAACAGCUUGGAAUUGAUGUAUGUGUGUAGGCAGAAGGAUUUGUUCUGCUCCCAAAGUUAUUUAAUUUCUUUCCUGUGUUUGAAUGUUUUUGUAAGUGUUAAAAGUGUAAAAAAAAAUAUAAAAUAUUCUUACCACAAAAUA